CCUGCCACGCUCAUAACGCCAAGCCACAACUUAGAAUGACUCAUAUAAUAGGAAGGUCUGGUGCUGCAAUUGUUCAGUGUGGUACAUGGAAGGGUACACACAUGUAACUUUGCUGGGACUCGUAAGAAGCCAACAAUGACACCAAAGACAACAGAGGGGAAAUUACUUGUACUUGCUUAUUGAAUUAAA
rnacentral:lncRNA from 1 species